UAUUAGAAUUGUUUCUUUUCACUAAUGUCAACGCAUCAUCAUGUUGAAGAAGCUAACUCUGACUAUUUUGGGACUCUUCUUACUUUACACGCACGUUAGCUGCCUAGAGGGGGCGAAAUGUGGGCGAGGCGGAAGGUGCUCAAAAAAAUGCAACAGCUUAACUGGAAAGGAAUUUGUUUCAGAUACCUGUGAUUUUACUGAGCUGUGUUGCGAUGCGAAAGGAUAAUGUAUGAAUAAUUUUGUUCUUACACGAUUCAGAAUAUCAAUUACACCUGAAAGUGUCGACAUCUAAUGCCUAAUAAUGUACGGAUAUACAUCGUAAUUUGUAUAAUAAAAAUUUAUCUCUGAACAUUAA